rnacentral:rRNA from 1 species
UACGAAGGGGGCUAGUGUUGCUCGGAAUCACUGGGCGUAAAGCGCACGUAGGCGGGUCCUUAAGUCAGGGGUGAAAUCCUGGAGCUCAACUCCAGAACUGCCUUUGAUACUGAGGAUCUCGAGUUCGGGAGAGGUGAGUGGAACUGCGAGUGUAGAGGUGAAAUUCGUAGAUAUUCGCAAGAACACCAGUGGCGAAGGCGGCUCACUGGCCCGAUACUGACGCUGAGGUGCGAAAGCGUGGGGAGCAAACAGGG